rnacentral:rRNA from 1 species
GAUGAACGCUAGCUACAGGCUUAACACAUGCAAGUCGAGGGGUAACAAGAGAAAAGCUUGCUUUUCUUGUUGACGACCGGCGCACGGGUGAGUAACGCGUAUCCAACCUGCCUAUAACUAGGGAAUAACCUUGCGAAAGUAAGACUAAUACCCUAUGAUUUCCUUUGAUGACAUCAGAUUAGGAAUAAAGAUUUAUCGGUUAUAGAUGGGGAUGCGUCUGAUUAGCUUGUUGGCGGGGUAACGGCCCACCAAGGCAACGAUCAGUAGGGGUUCUGAGAGGAAGGUCCCCCACAUUGGAACUGAGACACGGUCCAAACUCCUACGGGAGGCAGCAGUGAGGAAUAUUGGUCAAUGGGCGGAAGCCUGAACCAGCCAAGUAGCGUGCAGGAUGACGGCCCUAUGGGUUGUAAACUGCUUUUAUACAGGAAUAAAGUUAGCCACGUGUGGUUAUUUGUAGGUACUGUAUGAAUAAGGACCGGCUAAUUCCGUGCCAGCCGCCGGCAGUAA